UUGAAGCACCAAUUCUCAUACAAUCACGAAAAUUAAGCAACAUUGAGCUUGGUCAGUACUUAGAUAGGUGACCACUUGGGAAUACCAGGUGCUGCAAGC